CUGGCUCAGGAUGAACGCUAGCUACAGGCUUAACACAUGCAAGUCGAGGGCAGCAUGUGUGCUGCAACCGAUGAUGGCGACCGGCGCACGGGUGAGUAACGCGUAUCCAACCUUCCCUAUAGUAGAGGAUAGCCCGGCGAAAGUCGGAUUAAUACUCUAUGUUGUUCAAUGCAGACAUCUAAGUUGAAUCAAAGGUUCACCGCUAUAGGAUGGGGAUGCGUCUGGAUUAGGUAGUCGGCGGGGUAACGGCCCACCGAGCCAUCGAUCAGUAGGGGUUCUGAGAGGAAGGUCCCCCACAUUGGAACUGAGACACGGUCCAAACUCCUACGGGAGGCAGCAGUGAGGAAUAUUGGUCAAUGGGCGAGAGCCUGAACCAGCCAAGUAAGCGUGCAGGAUGACGGCCCUAUGGGUUGUAAACUGCUUUUAUACAGGGAUAAAGUCGGGGACGUGUCCCCGUUUGUAGGUACUGUAUGAAUAAGGACCGGCUAAUUCCGUGCCAGCCGCAGC
rnacentral:rRNA from 1 species